AACUAAUUGGCAGAAAAAUGCAUUAGAAUUAGAAUCUAAUUAAACUUCA
rnacentral:tRNA from 1 species